rnacentral:rRNA from 1 species
UACGAAGGGUGCAAGCGUUAAUCGGAAUUACUGGGCGUAAAGCGUGCGUAGGCGGUUUGUUAAGUCUGCUGUGAAAUCCCCGGGCUCAACCUGGGAAUGGCAGUGGAUACUGGCAAGCUAGAGUGUGUCAGAGGAUGGUGGAAUUCCCGGUGUAGCGGUGAAAUGCGUAGAGAUCGGGGAGGAACAUCAGUGGCGAAGGCGGCCAUCUGGGACACACUGACGCUGAGGCACGAAAGCGUGGGGAGCAAACAGG